AUGUGUCUCUCCUCCCUCGAUCACGUCCUACCAUUCGUCAUCACUAAUAUAUACGCCCCAUCCAGCCGCUCAUUAAAACAAGCCUUCCUAGAUGAACUCAAACAAAUCAAAGUGGAUGACCACACGCCAUGGUUAAUCGUUGGGGACUUCAACUUAAUCCGAUUCUCACACAAAAAAAGCAACAAAAACUUUCGCCAGAAAGAAGCUGAUGCCUUCAACUCCCUAAUCAAUGAACUUGCUCUCAUCAAUCUCCCCCUCCUCGAACGACGCUUCACUUGGUCAAACAAAAGAUCCUCCCCAACACUCGAACGACUGAUUGGGCUUUCUUCAAUCUGGCUUGGAACAAUGAUUUCCCGAACACCACACUAUCAUCCCUACCACGCAUUACGUCCUACCAUGUACCUCUAA
rnacentral:rRNA from 1 species